CGUCUUAGCGUUAAAAGAGAUGAUAAGAAUUAUAAUCGUGUUUCAGUCACUGUACUGGAUUCAAGGAGUUCAGGGAGCGAAUGAUGUCUCUCAGCCCAAUGCACUUUGGGCUAAAAAGGGCCAAUCAGCCACAAUAACCUGCUCACACACCAAGGGUGCACUUUACAAUCAAAUGUACUGGUUCUGUCAGUAUCAUGGAGAGAGCAUGGAGCUCAUAGUGUUCACUAACAGCUAUGGCACGCAGGAAUUUGGAAAAUUCAACCAGAGUAAAUUUUCAGUGAAUAAAACAGUUCCUGAGGAAGGAUUCUUCACAGUGAAAGAUGUGGAUUAUAAUGACAGCGCUGUGUAUUUCUGUGCUGUGAGAGAACACAGUGUUUUAACCACAGGGCAGAGCUGUACAAAAACACACUGUGUGGAAGGCAGGAAGAAAUAG